rnacentral:lncRNA from 1 species
UGCUCUGACCCCCUUGCUUCCAGCACGUUCAUACGAAUUGGGAUUUGGUGGCCUCACACGCAUAGGCUCCCGAUCCUCACAGGGGACAGGGAAGACGCCACAAUCUGCAUUUUACCGACAGGAGGCGCAGGAACUUGCCGGAGAUCGCAGAGCAGGAAUUAUGCAUUUGUGAUGGAGUGGAGUCCUGGCACAGAAAUCAAGAGGCCGGAAGAGCAGAUUGGAAAAGGGAGUUCAGAAGCUUAGUCCGUGGUCCUGUCCGCUCAAGAUCAGACAUGCUUGGAGCUCUGCUGAAUUUUAAUCUUCACUCUUAUUCAAAACCAUUGACUCCUAACGCCUGGGAAAGCCAGUGGAG